GACGAACGCUGGCGGCGUGCUUAACACAUGCAAGUCGAACGGAAAGGCCCUGCUUUUGUGGGGUGCUCGAGUGGCGAACGGGUGAGUAACACGUGAGUAACCUGCCCUUGACUUUGGGAUAACUUCAGGAAACUGGGGCUAAUACCGGAUAGGAGCUCCUGCUGCAUGGUGGGGGUUGGAAAGUUUCGGCGGUUGGGGAUGGACUCGCGGCUUAUCAGCUUGUUGGUGGGGUAGUGGCUUACCAAGGCUUUGACGGGUAGCCGGCCGGAGAGGGUGACCGGCCACAUUGGGACUGAGAUAGGGCCGAGACUCCUACGGGAGGCAGCAGGGGGGAAUAUGGAACAAGGGGGGGAAGCCUGAUGCAGCAACGCCGGGUGCGGAAUGACGGCCUUCGGGUUGUAAACCGCUUUCGCCUGGGACGAAGCGUGAGUGACGGUAAUGUGUAAAGAAGCACCGGCUAACUACGUG
rnacentral:rRNA from 1 species